CGGAGAGCGUGCAUGAGAAACGGCUACCACUUCUAAGGAAGGCAGCAGGCGCGCAAAUUACCCAAUCCUGACUCAGGGAGGUAGUGACAAGAAAUAACAAUAAACCGGCUUAUGCCGGUUUAAUUGGAAUGAGUACAAUUUAAACAUCUUAACGAGGAACAAUUGGAGGGCAAGUCUGGUGCCAGCAGCCGCGGUAAUUCCAGCUCCAAUAGCGUAUACUAAAGUUGUUGCAGUUAAAAAGCUCGUAGUUGGAUUUCUGCGGGGACGGAGCGGCCGGAUGCAACUUGCGUCUCGAGCUAGCGCUUUCCCCGCAUCCUGCCGCGAACCGUGCUACCAUUAGCUUGGUGGCGCUGGGGAUCGGCUCGAUUACUUUGAGAAAAAUAGAGUGUUCAAAGCAGGCCACACGCCUUGAAUAAGUUAGCAUGGAAUAAUGACUAAGGACUUUGGUUCUUUUCGUUGGUGUUCGGGACUGAAGUAAUGAUUGAUAGGGACAGUUGGGGCGGUCUGUAUUCCAAAGCGAGAGGUGAAAUUCUUAGACCUUCGGAAGACAAACAGCUGCGAAAGCGUUCCGCAAGGAUGUUCCCUUUGAUCAAGAACGAAAGUUGGGGGAUCGAAGACGAUCAGAUACCGUCGUAGUCUCAACUAUAAACUAUACCAGCUAGGGAUCGGCCAACGUUUAAUUAUUCGACUUGGUCGGCACCUUAUGAGAAAUCAAAGCAUCUGGGUUCCGGGGGGAGUAUGGUCGCAAGGCUGAAACUUAAAGGAAUUGACGGAAGGGCACCACCAGGCGUGGAGCCUGUGGCUUAAUUUGACUCAACACGGGAAAACUUACCAGGUCCAGACAUAGGAAGGAUUGACAGAUUGAUAGCUCUUUCUUGAUUCUGUGGGUGGUGGUGCAUGGCCGUUUUUAGUCGGUGAAGUGAUUUGUCUGCUUAACUGCGUUAACGGACGAGACCCCAGCCUGCUAAAUAGCGCGGCCGAGCUUUGCUCGGUGCGAGCUUCUUAGAGGGACCAUGAUGCGCGAUAGCACAAGGAAGUUUGGGGCAACAACAGGUCUGUGAUGCCCUUAGAUGUUCUGGGCCGCACACGGGCUACACUGGCGCCUGCAACGAGCAUAUCAGCUGGCCCGAGAGGGUCUUGGCUAAUCUUUGGAACCGGCGCCGUGCUUGGGAUUGACCAUUGCAAUUGUUGGUCAUGCAACGAGGAAUGCCUUGUAAACGCGAGUCAUCAGCUCGCAUUGAAUACGUCCCUGCCCUUUGUACACACCGCCCGUCGCUCCUACCGAUGAAUGUUCCGAUGAAAUUUUCGGAGAGCGCCGGAGAACGGGGCUCUGCCCUGCAGAACUGGAGGCUCAAAGUCACUUAAAUCUGAACAUUUCGAGGAAGGAGAAGUCGUAACAAGGUAACC
rnacentral:rRNA from 1 species